UCAAACUUGGUCAUUUAGAGGAAGUAAAAGUCGUAACAAGGUUUCUGUAGAGGAAUCUGCAGAAGGAUCAUUAAAGAUUUACUAUUAUAAACCCCUUGUGCACUAUGUGUUUAGAGUUGCUUGGCGGGAGCGCAGUCACUGCAUAGUCUCUGCCGCGUCUCGGCCUCAGUGCCGGACACCCGCCAACGCACUCGCCUUUAACAAACUCUUAAAGCUUUGACUGAUACAUUAAAGUUAAUUAAAACAACUUUCAACAAUGGAUCUCUUGGCUCUCGCAUCGAUGAAGAACGCAGC
rnacentral:misc_RNA from 1 species